UUGCGGUCCGUGGAGACACAUCCAGGACCACUCCUGUCUGAGGGCCGGCUGCAUAAUAACAAAAGCCACACUGCGCGCGUACUGUCCAUAUACGUGUGCAUAUGACGGUUCCAAAGGGUGUGUGGGGUUGUUUUGACUUAACAAACCCGCCGCCGUUUGGUCAGUUUAAAAAUUUCAACAGAGGAGGGGCACGUCGAGAAAUUACGUGCGCCGCCAUACACUUUGAGAAGAGUUGUUUGUGGCGUGCGUAUAUGAUGACAUCGUCCAGUCCAUCCAGAGUAGGCGGACUCGACGUCCGAAGGGCGCGACCUCGCCGCGUAAUCGAGAUUCGUAUGAACUCUCUCGUGUUACGUGACGACGGUAACGCCGACGGAUAUCGUGUCUGCCUCCAUUUUAUAACGUUGGCCUCAGAUCAGGGAGGAUUACCCGCCGAAUUUAAGCAUAUUAGUAAGCGGAGGA
rnacentral:rRNA from 1 species